AGGAACCUGACUGAGGCUUAGAGAAGUUAAGUCACUGCAGACAGAUACCAGGAAGUGGGACAGGUAACAUAUUCACUGGAUCCAGGGAUUAGCGAUGGACACCUUUGAGGGGAUAUUUUUCUGCCUGUCACAAGAACUCUAAAGAACCUGAGAACAGCAUAUAUAUGGAGCAGCUGCUACUUCUAUGGAUAAGAGAGAAUACUCAACGAAGGAACAAACUUGGAAAAAGGCUUCCUCCAAGGUUGAUAUUUAGACUUCAUUAGCGAAGAGAAGACAGACAAGGAGUCAAAAGUUAUAGUACAGACCCUUCUAACAUCCUGAAAGACAGUGGUUUUUGACAGCGUGUGCGUUGUCUAACGAUUUGUUGAUCAAAAGCAAUUUCCCUGUAAGGAAUUAAAGAAAAAGAACUGGUUAACACCUGAGAUAUUGUUCACAACAAGCACACUGAAUCUCAAACCUCCUUUCCACUGCAA